UACGUAGGGUGCAAGCGUUGUCCGGAAUUAUUGGGCGUAAAGAGCUCGUAGGCGGUCUGUCACGUCGGCUGUGAAAUCCCGAGGCUCAACUGUAGGCUUGCAUUCGAUACGGGCAGGCUAGAGUUCGGUAGGGGAGACUGGAAUUCCUGGUGUAGCGGUGAAAUGCGCAGAUAUCAGGAGGAACACCGGUGGCGAAGGCGGGUCUCUGGGCCGAUACUGACGCUGAGGAGCGAAAGCGUGGGGAGCAAACAGG
rnacentral:rRNA from 1 species